AACUGACUGUUGCCUAACGCUUAAGCGAUUGCAAAAUGAUCAGAGACGGAAGUCUACAUCCUACACCUCUUCGAUUGGCUCUAGCGAAGAAUCUCGAGCCCACGCGGCUGCAGAUCAAUUGCCUGAUUGCAAAUGGUUCGAACAGAUAAAAUCGUUUCCCUGAACCAGCAGAACCUGGAACGUCGAACCGCGAAGUGAUUGCUUCUUGCUGUAAAUGUCUUCAAGCCAAUCUGAAACUAUGAUUUCAGCUGAUUAAUUCGUAUUGUCAAGGUUGUGAACGCAUCUGCUGCAUAGCUACUUAGAAGUUGAUUUUGGACAAUUUUAAGAAGUGUGAGUGGUUUAUCCAGUUUGAAAUUGAGGAAUAGAUUCUCAAAAUGAAGCUAGAGCCAUGAAUAGUCCCCAGUCCCACCAUGUCACUAAGACUAGGACGUCCCUAUCUUCUGCAACCAAGACGACAAGGUUUUCACAAGUUUCUCCCAAGUAUUAUGGGUGACCAUGAUAAUGUUUUCGAUGAAAACUACGAACAGACUGAUACUGGGGCAGUGAUACGCAAUGGAAGAGAAAUCCUUUUCCAGGCAUUCAACUGGGAAUCUCAUAAAUGUGAUUGGUCGGGAAAUCUAGAGUGUAAAGUUCAUGAUAUCGCAAAAAGUGGAUUUACCUCUGCAUGGUUGCCUCCUCCAACUCAUUCCAUUGCUCCUCAAGGUUACCUCCCUCAGAACCUUUACUCCCUAAACUCUUCAUACGGUUCUGAGGACAUGCUGAAAGCUUUACUUCUCAAAAUGAAGCAGUGCAAGGUUAGAGCAAUGGCUGACAUAGUCAUCAAUCAUCGUGUUGGAACUGUUGUAGGACAUGGAGGAAUGCAUAAUCGCUUUGAUGGAAUACUAUUACCAUGGGAUGAGCAUGCUGUUACCUCGUGUUCUGGUGGCCUGGGCAAUCGUAGCACUGGUGACAACUUCCAUGGGGUUCCAAACAUUGAUCAUACCCAACCUUUUGUCCGUAGAGAUAUCAUAGCAUGGCUGAAGUGGCUACGCAGUAGUGUUGGAUUUCAGGAUUUUCGUUUUGAUUUUGCAAGGGGUUUUUCUGCAAAAUUCGUGAAAGAAUAUAUUGAAGCAGCAAAGCCAAUGUUUUCUAUUGGGGAAUAUUGGGAUUCUUGUAAUUAUAAUGGCCAUGACUUGGACUAUAAUCAAGUGAUGAUUACAGCUCUAAAUGCAGAUGGACAUAGACAGCGGAUAAUAAAUUGGAUUGAUGGCACAGGACAACUUUCAGCUGCUUUUGAUUUUACAACUAAGGGAGUCCUUCAGGAAGCUGUUAAAGGACAAUUAUGGCGUCUGUGUGACUGUCGAGGAAAGCCACCCGGUGUGAUGGGAUGGUGGCCUUCAAGGGCCGUGACAUUCUUAGAUAACCAUGAUACUGGUUCAACACAGGCCCAUUGGCCCUUUCCUGCCAACCAUAUCAUGGAGGGCUAUGCAUAUAUUCUCACACACCCAGGGAUACCAACAGUAUUUUAUGACCACUUUUACGAUUGGGGUGACUCAGUGCACGACGAGAUAGUAAAAUUAAUAGACAUUCGAAAACAUCAAGACAUCAACAGUCGGUCAUCUGUGAAGAUCCUCGAGGCACGAUCAGAUCUUUAUUCUGCAAUAAUUGGGGAGAACUUGUGCAUGAAAAUCGGAGAUGGUUCUUGGUGUCCUGGUACGGAAUGGACUCUUGCAACCUAUGGAUGCAGAUAUGCAGUGUGGCAGAAAUAAGAUUCUCUUCGUGCAGGAUUAUAAAGUAGAUUUCUUGAGGCUCCAAAUGCAGCAGCCAGCGAUGAACUCCCUCUCUCUGACGUCCACCGCCGGACCAUAAUUGGGGAUUCUAAGGUAAAGUUAAAAAAAAAAAAAAAAAAAAUUAAAUUGGCUUUGAGACAUUUUCAUUACGGCAGAUAUCCACUUUUUAACCACAACGGCUCGCAAUCAUUGAAAACAGUAUGGGAAUCCUAUCCAGUAUCCACCGAGAGCUGUGCAGUAAACAAAAGUGUUAAAUUUCUCAUGUAUUUCUUCAAAUUUGGUGAGUUUUCUCUGAAUGUUCAAAGUCUAGCAAUGAUUUGGUCUAGAAAGAACAUAAUAAUGCUCACAUCUACCACCAAUGAUGCUUAACAAAUUUCUUAAUCCUUGCAAGCCUUGAUUCACAAUCUGGUGGGGAAAAAUCAUUAUUUAGUAUUAAAAUUAAAAAAAAAAAAGUUGAAAAAUAAAUAAUAAUUUUUGGAAUAUUAUCACUUUAGUUAGCCUCCAACAACAAGCGACUUAGAAAAAGCAUAGAGUUUUAUUAUAUAUUUAUGUAGUUGAGAAUUAUUUUUAUAUAUACGAUUAUUUAAAUAUUCUUGAUUUUUUGUUUUUUUGAAAAGUAGAUAUUAUUUUUUAAAAAUAUGGUUGAUUGAUUGUAUGCCUUCUAAUUAAACUUUAGCUCCAAUGAAUAUAUAAAUAAAUCAAUUAUUAAAAGCAACUCUACAUGAUUGGAGUCGGAUGAUAUAGACGCUGAUAUCCCCACCUUAUGUAAAAAAAGGUGAUCUAAAAUUAUGACAAUAUAUGAUAUAUCUUUUUGGCAUUAAACUUUAGGAAAAUCAAUAAUUACCAGUUUUCGACUAUGAUUCUAUAUAGUUUAUUAAUUUGGUAAUGGGAUUCGAAUGUGGCAUGAUUAGUAGUUGUCUACUUAUCUAUCCAUUCAUGCUGAAUUUAUUCUACUUUUCCUUUUUCUUUUUCACGAUGGUGUCAUGUUAGCAUUUUAUUAAUGAUAUCAAUAUCUAACAACACAUUGUAGGAACCAUUUAUCAUACCAAGGUAUAAAAUGCAUUUUAGGAAUGUUUAUGACAAAGUAUUUUAACAAAAAAGAGAUGGCAUAUUAAUACAUUUGACUUUAUUUCUUGUUUCUUGGUUCCUUUUUCUCAUUUAACAAAACUUCCCUCGUGUUACUAUGAAUGAGAGAUGUGAAAAGUAAUUUCAAAUGUGUGUGGGGAUAUAGGCUAAGAAGUACAAAUACUUUAGUUUGGAUGACGUGUUUGAGUCUGACACGUUAACACUCUAACACUUGGUGGAUACCUAUUGGACGCUUAGUAGUACAACGUAUGUAUUAGAUAUGCAUAAAAAACUCGUUGCAGAGACAAAAAAUAUAGAUAUAUGACAAUAAGAAUAACUUUUAAGCGUAGAAUACAUCAAGCUAAGUUUUUUAAGCAUAUAAAUUCAUCAAUUCACUCACUAUGAAUUUUCUUUUACUAUAAAAAUGAUAUAUAUUUUAAAAAUGAACAUUUUAAUAAACAUGUCCUUGUUGUCUCGUGUCUUAUAUUUUUAAAAUAUGGUAUGUGGCCAUCGUAUUUGUAUCUCGUAUCCGUGUUCGUGCUUCUUAGAGUAUAAGAAUUAAUUUAUGUGGUUGAUAUUUGUGUUAUUAUUAUUUAGUUUAGUAGUGAAGAAAUUUAAAGGAAAAAGUGUGGAAGGAUAGAGUAAAGGAGGGAAGAGAAUAAAAUCAGGGGGCGGUGAUAAGAAGAUCUGGGGAGCAAUCUUGAGACAAGAUAGGGGAGGUUGGAAGGGGACGAUACGGCAGUGUCCUCUUUGCUGGGAGACCCAAUGGGUAAGCUUAAGAGCCAAGAGGAAAGGGAAUCUCUUGGGUUAAUCCCACACAUUUCCCAUUUGCUAUCCCAAAUAUAAUCAUAAUAAUAACGAUGUUUUUUUGUUCUAUCGAUUUUAAACCAUAGAUGUAUUCGGGUUCAUAAUAUUUUCAGUUAGU